rnacentral:rRNA from 1 species
AUACCCAGCCGUUGCUGGCUUGUGCGUUGUCUAGCGCCUGGCCGCAACGAGUAGGAGGGUCGUGGCGGUUGCGUCGAAGGCUUUGGGCGUAGGCCCAGCUGGAGCUUCCGUCAGUGCAGAUCUCGGUGGUAGUAGCAAAUAUUUAAGUUCGAUCCUUGAAGACUGAAGUGGAGAAGGGUUCCACGUGAACAGUAGUUGAAUGUGGGUCAGUCGAUCCUAAGAUACUGGCUUAUGCCUUGUAUCAUUGAGAGGGAAAAGUUUCUUUUCUCUCGGAUAUCAAAAGGGAAUAGGGUUAAUAUUCCCUAACGCAGACACAGAGAUUGCGGCUCUUUGAGUCGCUUGCGCGGUAACGCAUUCGAACUUGGUUACGUCGCUCAGAGACCGAGCUAGAGUUCUCUUCUCUAGUUAAGGAACGGACUCCCUGGAAUCGGUUCAGCCGUAGAUAGGGACGUUGUUUCCGUAAAGCAUCGCGGUUUCUGUGAUGUCUCGUGUUCUUUGGACGGCCCUUGAAAAACCAAGGAAGGCUAUCAAUCUGUGCUGCAUC